rnacentral:rRNA from 1 species
GACGUAGGGCGCGAGCGUUGUCCGGAUUUAUUGGGCGUAAAGAGCUCGUAGGCGGCUUGUCGCGUCGUCCGUGAAAACUUGGGGCUCAACCCCAAGCUUGCGGUCGAUACGGGCAGGCUCGAGUUCGGUAGGGGAGACUGGAAUUCCUGGUGUAGCGGUGAAAUGCGCAGAUAUCAGGAGGAACACCAGUGGCGAAGGCGGUGCUCUGGGCCGGAACUGACGCUGAGGAGCGAAAGCGUGGGGAGCAAACAGG